UACAGAGGUCUCAAGCGUUGUUCGGAUUCAUUGGGCGUAAAGGGUGCGUAGGCGGCGCGGUAAGUCGGGUGUGAAAUCUUGGAGCUUAACUCCGAAACUGCAUUCGAUACUGCCGUGCUUGAGGACUGGAGAGGAGACUGGAAUUUACGGUGUAGCGGUGAAAUGCGUAGAUAUCGUAAGGAAGACCAGUGGCGAAGGCGAGUUCCUGGACAGUUACUGACACUGAGGCACGAAGGCCAGGGGAGCAAACGGG
rnacentral:rRNA from 1 species